rnacentral:rRNA from 1 species
AAUAUUGGACAAUGGGGGCAACCCUGAUCCAGCCAUGCCGCGUGUGUGAAGAAGGUCUUCGGAUUGUAAAGCACUUUAAGUUGGGGGGAAGGGCUUUAGGUUAAUACCCUGCAGUUUUGACGUUACCAACAGAAUAAGCACCUGCUAACUUUGUGCCAGCAGCCGAGGUAAUACAGAGGGUGUAAGCGUUAAUCGGAAUUACUGGGCGUAAAGCGAGAGGAGGUGGUUCAGUAAGAUGGGUGUGAAAUCCCCGGGCUUAACCUGGGAACUGCUUUCAUAACUGCUGAGCUAGAGUACGGUAGAGGGUAGUGGAAUUUCCUAUGUAGCGGUGAAAUGCGUAGAUAUAGGAAGGAACACCAGUGGCGAAGGCGACUACCUGGACUGAUACUGACACUGAGGUGCGAAAGCGUGGGGAGCAAAC